UGCGGUGAGUGAAGAACGCUUCGGUUUGUAAAGCUCUUUGUCAGGAAGAAACACCGGCUCUAACACAGUCCGGGAAUGACGGUACCUGAAGAAUAAGCACCGGCUAACUACGUGCCAGCAGCCGCGGUAAUACGUAGGGUGCGAGCGUUAAUCGGAAUUACUGGGCGUAAAGCGUGCGCAGGCGGUUAUACAAGACAGGCGUGAAAUCCCCGGGCUUAACCUGGGAAUGGCGCCUGUGACUGUAUGGCUAGAGUGUGUCAGAGGGGGGUAGAAUUCCACGUGUAGCAGUGAAAUGCGUAGAUAUGUGGAGGAAUACCAAUGGCGAAGGCAGCCCCCUGGGAUAACACUGACGCUCAUGCACGAAAGCGUGGGGAGCAAACAGGAUUAGAUACCCUGGUAGUCCACGCCCUACACGAUGCUGACUAGUUGUUCGGGAUUUACAUCCUGAGUAACGUAGCUAACGCGUGAAGUCAGCCGACUGGGGAGUACGGUCGCAAGAUUACAACUCAAAGGAAUUGACGGGGACCCGAACAAGCGGUGGAUGAUGUGGAUUAAUUCGAUGCAACGCGAAAACCUUACCUACCU
rnacentral:rRNA from 1 species